AAAAAUAUUUUAAAUUUUUAUGAUAAAAUAUAAUGAUCAAAAUAUCCCUUGAAACGUUCAGAGGUAUUUUAGACAUUCAUUGUGAUUGGAGCCAUUUCAGCCGUACAUUCAGAAUUGAUGAUAAAGAGAAAAGCUUGCCAAAAAUAUAAAAAAGCAAAAGAUUGUGCACAAUAUUAAUUGAGAAAUUAUCAUAUUAGCCCCUCUCAAUAAAUGGCAUUUCACAUGAAUUCUCGUUGUUGUUUUCCUCUCAAGAAGAGUAGGUGUAUGACUUAUGAUUUCAC
rnacentral:lncRNA from 1 species